AGAGAUCUUGAUGCAGACGCCCUUUUGGAUUUCUUUUUAAUAAUGUGUGACCCUUCACCUUUGAUCCCUUGACCUGCAUUACUUUGAGUCACCUGUUAAAAUAACGUGGCAGUCAAAAACAGUGUUCACAAGAUUCUGCUGACCAGUAUCUCCUCCGUGUCGAUGUACGUGUUUCUCUGAGCCAGUGGUUAGGAGCCGAGAUGGACAAUCACAACCUACAUCAGUGUUUGAAGCAUUCAGGUUUGGCUUGUCUGCUUUUCAGCUCUUCUAGACAUUGGAAAUUCCAGUUUGUGUUUAUUUUCUCUGGAUUCCUUCCCACAAGACAGAAGUGAAUUCAGCAUGGAUUAUGGGGGAGAGCCUUGGCUGGGAAUAAGGAUAAUUGCAGUCUCUGGCUGUGCCACAGAUUUACUGAUGAUUUCUUUUAAGUUAUUCACCUACACUGUAUCUGUUUCCUCAGCUGUAAAAUAUGGGUAAUUACCUCCAUUGUAAAAUGUUAUGGGGUCUGCUGGUAAUUAUAUGAAUGAAGUGCUAAUUACAGUGAUUAUUACUUGGACCUAGUCUAGAUCUGGGUGAUGUUCCUGUUGUGAUGAACGUAUGAAACAAAUACUACAACUUGCCUUUCUCCGUUCUUUGCGAGGGACCUGGAAGGGGAAGGUGUCACGGCACCCGCGUGUAAAUCCUGAUGAGAACCGCCGCUGCUUUCUCAGCCCAGUCAGUCUAUUAACUCCGUCUCCCUCGGUCCUCGUGCGUCAGCAGGGCGGUAGGCUGGUGAGAGGCUGGGAAAUGACUAACUCAGUGGUUAGAUCCACGUGUGAGUCGAUGACAAGGGUUUGUGCUCUGGCAGGCGCUUUUCCUCGUGGAGACGCGUCGAAGCGAGCAGCCUGGGAACGGUUCUGUGUGCCGGGGCAGCGGGGCUGGGCCCGGCCUCCCGCCUCUGGCAGAGCUGACCUUGACGUGAGGGGAGCUGUCCUUCAGCUCUCAAGGUUAUUCCCCUCCUGUCAAAGACUGCAGCUUGCAAGACUUUAGUAUCAAACAUUUUAUUUGCCUUUCUCCAUUUUUUUUGGAAAGAGUCUCUUUGUAGCUGGGAAUAGCUCUACUAUCCACUAAGCAAGGCCAGGUACUGGAAGAAGAAUUGAUAUUCUUUAAGGUAGAAAUGGAGUGUUCUCAUCCAGAAAAUAUUGCUGCUGCUGCCCGGGUGAUGCUGUAGUUCUGACUGUAGUAAUCAUGAGUGAUGUCAUACAUCUGUUAACGAUGAGAGGCUCCUACCCAACACCAGCCCUCCCUGGACACACAGUAACAGCAAAAAUCAUGUUCUUGGGGUUCGUCCCGCUGCAGUCCCUGCCUGCUCUGUUCUGCCACAGCUACUCGCUCUGCCUUUUAGUUUCAGCCCUCGCCUCCACACACCCACUUGCCACCAGCCUCGUUCUUUGCCCUGGGAGAGCAGCUGCAGAUCUCAGUCACGUCUUCAGAAUUCGGUAGCAAGCUGGAGGUGACACGCCAAGCAGCUCUUCCUUCCUCAUCGUUUCAUGAUUGCCGUGAAUUUUUAACUUUGAAGAGGAGGGUUUAGUUAUUGCCCAGUAUGAUAAUCUGAAAAGGCUUUCUAGCAAUGGGAAGGCAAUUUUUAAUUGCAGUUUUGCACUUGAAUUUGCCAAAGUAGAUGCUCAUCUCUGACAGUUUAUUUGUAAGUGAUUCGACGCGCUGAAAACAAUCAGGACUGUGUCACGUCCUCGCAGUGUUUCAGUUGUUGACAAUGCAAAGUCCAUCUAACGCAGGUUACUGCAUUACUGUUCUGUUUGGGGAUAACUAAAGGAGACAAA